GACGAACGCUGGCGGCGUGCUUAACACAUGCAAGUCGAACGGUAAGGCCCUGCUUUUGUGGGGUGCUCGAGUGGCGAACGGGUGAUUAACACGUGAGUAACCUGCCCUUGACUUUGGGAUAACUUCAGGAAACUGGGGCUAAUACCGGAUAGGAGCUCCUGCUGCAUGGUGGGGGUUGGAAAGUUUCGGCGGUUGGGGAUGGACUCGCGGCUUAUCAGCUUGUUGGUGGGGUAGUGGCUUACCAAGGCUUUGACGGGUAGCCGGCCUGAGAGGGUGACCGGCCACAUUGGGACUGAGAUACGGCCCAGACUCCUACGGGAGGCAGCAGUGGGGAAUAUUGCACAAUGGGCGGAAGCCUGAUGCAGCAACGCCGCGUGCGGGAUGACGGCCUUCGGGUUGUAAACCGAUUUCGCCUGUGACGAAGCGUGAGUGACGGUAAUGGGUAAAGAAGCACCGGCUAACUACGUG
rnacentral:rRNA from 1 species